AACCCCUCAAGCCCAGCUUGGUAUUGGGUGCUUGUCCCGCCUCCUGCGCGGCGACUCACCUCAAAGUCAUUGGCAGCCCGCAAUCGCCGGCCGUGAGCGCAGCACAGACGCGCUUGUGGACCCCGGCGGCUCGGCUCUCCAAAAGCUUGUUUCAACCACAA
rnacentral:misc_RNA from 1 species